rfam:Myotis brandtii contig255542, whole genome shotgun sequence.
CGUGGUUCUCAGUUGAUGCACCCUGGAAUCGGGCUCCUUCCUCUCUAGUUCUGGGUGUAUCACCCAAGAACAGCA